UAGUGGCGAACGGGUGAGUAACACGUGGGCAAUCUGCCCUGCACUCUGGGACAAGCCCUGGAAACGGGGUCUAAUACCGGAUACUGAUCAUCUUGGGCAUCCAAGGUGUUCGAAAGCUCCGGCGGUGCAGGAUGAGCCCGCGGCCUAUCAGCUUGUUGGUGAGGUAAUGGCUCACCAAGGCGACGACGGGUAGCCGGCCUGAGAGGGCGACCGGCCACACUGGGACUGAGACACGGCCCAGACUCCUACGGGAGGCAGCAGUGGGGAAUAUUGCACAAUGGGCGAAAGCCUGAUGCAGCGACGCCGCGUGAGGGAUGACGGCCUUCGGGUUGUAAACCUCUUUCAGCAGGGAAGAAGCGAAAGUGACGGUACCUGCAGAAGAAGCGCCGGCUAACUACGUGCCAGCAGCCGCGGUAAUACGUAGGGCGCGAGCGUUGUCCGGAAUUAUUGGGCGUAAAGAGCUCGUAGGCGGCUUGUCACGUCGGUUGUGAAAGCCCGGGGCUUAACCCCGGGUCUGCAGUCGAUACGGGCAGGCUAGAGUUCGGUAGGGGAGAUCGGAAUUCCUGGUGUAGCGGUGAAAUGCGCAGAUAUCAGGAGGAACACCGGUGGCGAAGGCGGAUCUCUGGGCCGAUACUGACGCUGAGGAGCGAAAGCGUGGGGAGCGAACAGGAUUAGAUACCCUGGUAGUCCACGCCGUAAACGGUGGGCACUAGGUGUGGGCAACAUUCCACGUUGUCCGUGCCGCAGCUAACGCAUUAAGUGCCCCGCCUGGGGAGUACGGCCGCAAGGCUAAAACUCAAAGGAAUUUGACGGGGGCCCGCACAAGCGGCGGAGCAUGUGGCUUAAUUUCGACGCAACGCGAAGAACCUUACCAAGGCUUGACAUACACCGGAAACGUCUGGAGACAGGCGCCCCCUUGUGGUCGGUGUACAGGUGGUGGCAUGGCUGUCGUCAGCUCGUGUCGUGAGAUGUUUGGGUUAAGUCCCGCAACGAGCGCAACCCUUGUCCCGUGUUGCCAGCAGGCCCUUGUGGUGCUGGGGACUCACGGGAGACCGCCGGGGUCAACUCGGAGGAAGGUGGGGACGACGUCAAGUCAUCAUGCCCCUUAUGUCUUGGGCUGCACACGUGCUACAAUGGCCGGUACAAUGAGCUGCGAUACCGUGAGGUGGAGCGAAUCUCAAAAAGCCGGUCUCAGUUCGGAUUGGGGUCUGCAACUCGACCCCAUGAAGUCGGAGUCGCUAGUAAUCGCAGAUCAGCAUUGCUGCGGUGAAUACGUUCCCGGGCCUUGUACACACCGCCCGUCACGUCACGAAAGUCGGUAACACCCGAAGCCGGUGGCCC
rnacentral:rRNA from 1 species